rnacentral:rRNA from 1 species
UGGAUAGAGCACGGAAAAGCUGUGUAUAACACAGACAAGUGGGGUCACCGCUGCCCGUUGGCAUGGGCAGUGGGGGUAAGUGGGCCCAUAACCAUGGGCCUCACCUCAUCAACGGCUCUCAAAGUACCUCUGGGACUAAACAUCCCGGGCCAAACGGAAGCCUCUGGUACCGGACACGUUUACCGAGCGCCCUGCGGGGUUGGUCUUGUCUGGGUACCCGGCAGAGCCCAUCCACAAGCGCACGAUGGACUUCAAACCUAUCAGCUAGACUGUAGGGUAUUGGCCUACCGUGGCUAUUACGGGUACAGAGGAUUAGGGUUUGAUCCUGGAGAGGUAGCCUGAAAAAUCGCUCCCACUUCUAAGGAAGG